GGCAAAGACCCCUCCUUCCCUGUUUAUAAACACCGCUACCUGCCCCGUGGAGACCUUAAAUAUCAUCUCCAGGAGAGGAGGUCCAACUACGUACAUCCUCACAAAAAGUUGCACCCCGGUCAGGAAAUGCCUGGAGGCAUCGCAGCGAUGGCAGUCUCCGCAGUGACUGACGUCCCGAAUUCGCCCGUGAGGAUUCACAACCAUCUUCCCAGGCAAAUGUGAAUUACAUUAUUCUUAUGGAGGUCUGAGAAGAGAGUCUGCAACUUGGGCCAGGUGCAGAGUGAGGAAUAAGUGAAGAUUCAGACUCAAGAAAGAGAAAAUCUUACUGGAGAAAACCAUGCCAAGCCUGAGAACGUUGAGUACCCGAGGCCAAGUUCAACAAGGCCAGGGAACUUUCCAGCAAGAAAUGAUCCCAUCUGUAACAAGGCCAGUCUCAUGGGUUGUAGCUCACAAUUGGCAGGAAGUUAUGGUGCCAUAACUCAUAUGGGAUAAGAUUCAUCAUUGGGCCCCUGGACUUCACACCUCGGACCCUAAGAAUGCCCCUUUGAAUGUCUUCCCUCCUGCCCAAAAGAUUGAGGAUCCAUUGGAGAGUCUGACUCUGGAACCAGUGCUUCAGACAGACAUUGUUGAAGCUGGAUUAAGUGGAUAUACAAGGACCUGCACAUUUGCUACCAGCAUCCUCCCAGUUCACCCCAUACCCCACCCACGUGGACUCAUCAUCCUCAUGUUUGUGCUGCCAAACUUUGCGCAUACCACUUCCUUGCCUGGGAAGGAUUUUCUGGUUCCGCUUGCCUGGAAAAGCCCAAUCAUCCUUCAAGAACCAGCUCCAAGGUCACCUCCUCUAUGAAGACUCCCCUGAGAGAGGAGGGAACUGUCGUCUAUACACUCAGUUAUUCACCCACACAUGCUUAUUGAGUGCUGUCCAUACCCUUCAGCCAAGACCACCAGGAACAUGCCAGCAAUGAACUAAGAUCCCUGAGGAAAUUUUGAGAGAGAAUGGAACUUGUUUUGUGAACUGAAAACCAAGUAGCUCAUGUUUGGCUAAAGAUGAAAGAAAAAAAAGAAAGAAAAGAAAAACUCAAGAGGAGAAACAAAAU